UCCUACGGGAGGCAGCAGUGGGGAAUAUUGGACAAUGGGCGCAAGCCUGAUCCAGCCAUGCCGCGUGAGUGAUGACGGCCCUAGGGUUGUAAAGCUCUUUUACCUGGGAAGAUAAUGACGGUACCAGGAGAAUAAGCCCCGGCUAACUUCGUGCCAGCAGCCGCGGUAAUACGAAGGGGGCUAGCGUUGUUCGGAAUCACUGGGCGUAAAGCGCACGUAGGCGGACGCUUAAGUCAGGGGUGAAAUCCCGAGGCUCAACCUCGGAACUGCCUUUGAUACUGGGUGUCUUGAGUCCGGGAGAGGUGAGUGGAACUGCGAGUGUAGAGGUGAAAUUCGUAGAUAUUCGCAAGAACACCAGUGGCGAAGGCGGCUCACUGGCCCGGAACUGACGCUGAGGUGCGAAAGCGCGGGGAGCAAACAGGAUUAGAUACCCUGGUAGUCCACGCUGUAAACGAUGGAUGCUAGCCGUUAGACAGCUUGCUGUUUAGUGGUGCAGUUAACGCUUUAAGCAUCCCGCCUGGGGAGUACGGUCGCAAGAUUAAAACUCAAAUGAAUUGACGGA
rnacentral:rRNA from 1 species